AUGGUAUGUCCAGCAUACACAGAUCAGAGGAGAACAUUAUUUAUAAAUCUUGAAAAGUUGAGUCUGAAAGUAUUUUCUCUUUCUACGAUACUAGGUGAGGGAUUGAGGGACAGGGAAAUUGCACGGGCAGUAGUUCUCUUUCUUUUGUUUUUCUGGCAGACUGUCAAGAAGAAGAGGAAGGGAAGUAGGUCUGAGGAUGUUGAUCGCCAAGAGAAAGAAUGUAUUAAAUGUGUCUUACGAUUUGGUGAGAAGACUGGGGGAGUGAGUAUAAUAAAUCCUUUGAAGUUAACUAAAUGUUUAAAUGAGGUGAUUGGCCGUAUUGAAUUUGCCAAAGUAUUGCAGGAUGGAAAUCUCUUGGUGGGGUGCACAGAUCUUGAGCAGGUAGGUAGGGCUUUAAAGCUAAAAAGUGUUUGUGGAAUCAAGGUUGUGAGUGCAAACAGAAUUGGAGGAAAUAAAACUAAGGGACGAAAAGGUGUUAUUGCACGGGUACCUAUGGAUAUUGGAAUUGAAGAUAUAAAGGAAAAUGUGAAAGGUGGAAGAGUUCUGGAUGCUUACCGCAUAAAAUCGUGGGUGGAUGGGGUCCGACAGGACACAGAAACUGUGGUGCUUGAGUUUCAAGGUGAGGCAUUGCCAGGGAGAGUUAUGCUUGGAGUUAUGAGCUACAUCGUGAGGGAAUUUGUGCCUCGACCAGUAAGGUGCUUUAAAUGUCAAAAGUUUGGACAUGUUGCAGCGUCAUGUACUCGGAAACAGAGAUGUGCACGUUGCAGUGGAGAGCAUGAAUAUGGCAAAUGUGAAGCCGGAGUCCAACUUAAAUGCUGCAAUUGUGGAGAAGCUCAUAAUGCUGCUUACAGGGGGUGUCAAGUGCUGAAACAAGAAAGUGAAAUUCAGAGAGUAAGAGUGGAAAAGAAGCUAACUUAUGUUGAAGCUGUAAAGCAAGUGAGAGGAGAAAGGCAGCCAAGCCCUGUGACACAGGCUGUGAGAAUGAACACAGUAUCAAAGGAGGAGUUUACAGUAGAAAAGAAGAAGUUGGUUACUUUUAUUGUCCAUGUUAUUAAUUGCACGGCUGGCGUGGAUUCCAAGACUGCUAAGUGUAAGAUAAUCGUUAAGGCGGCUAUACAUCACCUUGGGCUGACUGAUUACAGAUGGAAGGAUGUCAUGGAUGAGCUCCAUGCAUUAGGGCUACAUGCGUCAUGA
rnacentral:lncRNA from 1 species